rnacentral:tRNA from 1 species
GGGACUGUAGCUGUUAUGGCCGCAAGCGCCUCCCUGAAGAGGAGGAGAAAUAGGUUCGAUUCCUAUCAGUCCCACCA